rnacentral:rRNA from 1 species
AUUGAACGCUGGCGGCAGGCCUAACACAUGCAAGUCGAGCGAGCGGCGGACGGGUGAGUAAUGUCUGGGAAACUGCCUGAUGGAGGGGGAUAACUACUGGAAACGGUAGCUAAUACCGCAUACCAUCAGAUGUGCCCAGAUGGGAUUAGCUAGUAGGUGGGGUAACGGCUCACCUAGGCGACGAUCCCUAGCUGGUCUGAGAGGAUGACCCGCCAACUUGGAACUGUGACACGGUCCAGCCGCCGUCGGUAGGUAGCAGUUGGGAAUCUUGCACAAUGGGCGCAAGCCUGAUGCAGCCAUGCCGCGUGUGUGAAGAAGUCCUUCGGGUUGUAAAGCACUUUCAGCGGGGAGGCGUUACCCGAAGAAGAAGCACCGGCUAACUCCGUGUCAGCCGCCGCGGUAAUUC